CAGCACUGGAUACUAACCGAGCUAUCUGUGUCCCGGCCUUGCGUCAAAGGCUUGGGAUGCGUCGUGAUAGCUGGGUUCAAGAAGUGCAAUAUUAAAACAAAAGCCAUGAGGUCUUAAGCCCAGCGUGUAAAGACACACACUGAGUUAUAACUCAGCGGCACAGCC